CAUAGACUCUUCCAGAGAAAUCAAAGCCCCCUGAAGCUCGAGAAGAACAUUUGCAGACUCUGUUUCCUCCAUAGAAUGAAUGAAAACUACUCACCUGUGGAAACACCGAAUCACCAGAGUCCCUAACUCUCUUGGUCACUUUGAUUCUAAGAUGAUGUUGUGUGGACACUGGCAUCUCCACCAUUCAAAGAAUUUUCAGACAUGACUGAAGACAUUUAAAACCCAGUAUUUUACGUGUUCUCCAGCUCUGAAUUAAAUGUGCUCCUUAAAAAAUCAGAAGUUAACUGGAAAGCAACCCGAG